GACUGGGAGCCAAAGGAAAGUCUGCUGUAACAAUGAUCCUCAGUUAAAAAGCACUCCUUUUCAUGAUCAGCAUGCUGGUGAAGAGGACACAGCUUCCAGUAUGGAAACUGCACCCUGUCAAUUGAAAGUGGGGAAAGCAUGGACAUGAGAUCGCACACAGGGUUUCAUGAGAUGUGAGCAGAUGGGACUUUGAUUUCAAGUAUGCAGAUGGCCAAAUAAGUCAUGGUACUGAGAAGGGUCCAGUUAUACCUGGCUGGGAUACCUGACCUUUUCACAGAUAUUUGAGCAACAUGAGGAAAAGGUCUCCUCCAAGCAAACAGUCUGCCAGUAUAUGGCCAGCAGUAUAUAUUCCUUGUAGGAGAAAUGAAUAAAAUUUGUUUUAUCUGACUUGUGGGAAAUUAUUAGAGGAGGAGGAAGACAUGAAAAGUGAAAGAUGCCAGAAAGCAAACACACCAGAUGAGGAGCAAAGACUUCUCUUCAGAAGCCCUUGAAGACCUGUACAGCUAUGGGGAACAUCAUAAUUUGUCGAUUUUCUGGUGUUAUGAGGUACUGGCUGACAAAUGAUUGGGUGACAA